UAACGCGAAGAACCUUACCAGGUCUUGACAUCUUCUGAUAGCCUAAGAGAUUAGGUGUUCCCUUCGGGGACAGAAUGACAGGUGGUGCAUGGUUGUCGUCAGCUCGUGUCGUGAGAUGUUGGGUUAAGUCCCGCAACGAGCGCAACCCUUAUUGUCAGUUGCCAGCAUUAAGUUGGGCACUCUGGCAAGACUGCCGGUGACAAACCGGAGGAAGGUGGGGAUGACGUCAAAUCAUCAUGCCCCUUAUGACCUGGGUUACACACGUGCUACAAUGGACGAUACAACGAGUCGCUAGACCGCGAGGUUAAGCUAAUCUCUGAAAGUCGUUCUCAGUUCGGAUUGCAGGCUGCAACUCGCCUGCAUGAAGUCGGAAUCGCUAGUAAUCGCGGAUCAGC
rnacentral:rRNA from 1 species